GUGUCAGCCGCCGCGGUAAAACGUAGGAGGCAAGCGUUAUCCGGAGUUACUGGGCGUAAAGCGCAUGUAGGCGGUUGGACAAGUUGGUUGUGAAAGCGCCCGGCUAAACUGGGCGAGGCCGAUCAAGACUGUUCGACUAGAGGGUGUUAGAGGGGCGCAGAAUUCGGGGUGUAGCGGUGAAAUGUGUAGAGAUCCCGAGGAAUACCAGUGGGGAAGCCGGCGCCCUGGGACAUUACUGACGCUGAGAUGCGAAAGCGUGGGGAGCGAACGGGAUUAGAUACCCCCGUAGUCC
rnacentral:rRNA from 1 species